AGAGUUUGAUCCUGGCUCAGGAUGAACGCUAGCUACAGGCUUAACACAUGCAAGUCGAGGGGCAGCAUAGUCAAAGCUUGCUUUGAUUGAUGGCGACCGGCGCACGGGUGAGUAACGCGUAUCCAACCUUCCCCUUAGUAGGGCAUAGCCCGGCGAAAGUCGGAUUAAUACCCUAUGUUGUGUCAUGAGGACAUCUGAAUAACACUAAAGAUUUAUCGCUAAGGGAUGGGGAUGCGUCCGAUUAGCUUGCCGGCGGGGUAACGGCCCACCGGGGCGACGAUCGGUAGGGGUUCUGAGAGGAAGGUCCCCCACACUGGUACUGAGACACGGACCAGACUCCUACGGGAGGCAGCAGUGAGGAAUAUUGGUCAAUGGGCGAGAGCCUGAACCAGCCAAGUAGCCGUGCAGGAUGACGGCCCUAUGGGUUGUAAACUGCUUUUAUGCGGGGAUAAAGUGACGUACGUGUACGUUUUUGUAGGUACCGCAUGAAUAAGGACCGGCUAAUUCCGUGCCAGCCGCUGC
rnacentral:rRNA from 1 species